UACGUAGGGGGCAAGCGUUGUUCGGAAUUACUGGGCGUAAAGGGCGCGUAGGCGGCACGGCAAGUCAGGAGUGAAAGGCCUGGGCUCAACCGAGGAACUGCUUUUGAGACUGCCGAGCUAGAGUGCAGAAGGGGCAACUGGAAUUCCCAGUGUAGCGGUGAAAUGCGUAGAUAUUGGGAAGAACACCCGAGGCGAAGGCGGGUUGCUGGGCUGACACUGACGCUGAGGCGCGAAAGCCAGGGGAGCAAACAGG
rnacentral:rRNA from 1 species